UAACAGUCCCUGUGGUACUGAUCACAGGGACACAGUCAGGACAUCCUGGGGCUCAGUGAUAGUUCAGGACAAACAUUUGCCUAUGAGCAAGUGGUUACCUUUGACACAGUUUUUUAAAACAGAGGUUAGCAAAGAUAUUUUAAUUGGGGUUGCCAGGCUGGUAAGGUAAAGGCCUAGAGGUGCAAGGUGCCUGGUCCCUUAACAGAGAGAGGAAGGCUCUUGUAGAAGGAGAGGAUACAGCCACCAUGAUGAUGUUCUCAUUUCUAAUUCCUGAGGUCAGGUCCUUGGACUUGGCUUAAUUUCUGAAGCUCUUGCUGGGAUUCAGUGGGCUCCCAGCUGUCAGUCCAAAGAUUCCCCCUUUAUUAUGUUUCUGUUGCUUACAUUAAAAAAAGUUAAUGCACAUAUUCUGUUUUAUAAUGGGGAGAAAACUCUUGGGAGUUCCCAUCGUGGCUUAGCAGAAAUGAAUCCGACUAGCAUCCAUGAGGAUGCAGGUUCGAUCCCUGACCUCACUCAGUGGGUCAGGGAUCUGGCAUUGCCGUGAGCUGUGGUGUAGGUCACACAUGCGGCUCAGAUCCCACAUUGCUGUGGCUGUGGUGUAGGCCACAAUUUCAACCCCUAGCCUGGGAACUUCCAUAUGUCAAGGGUGCAGCCCUAAAAGGCAAAAUUAUUAAAUAAAGGCAUAGCUCUUAAGCUCUAACUCUCAGUCAUGUCUUCAGAGCCACCUUAUGUUCAAGGAGCUGCAUGUAACACUUAUGUGUGGGUGGGUGGAUGAAGGAAUAUGCUGCUAGUUUAUGUCAGAGGUCAAGUGGAAACAUGGUGAAGGUCCUUAGAAUUUUUUUAUUUUUUCAAUAAACUAAGUCCACUAAUUUGACCCACAAUCCUCACACUUUAAUAUAUCAUUUAUAUUUGCCUGUACUCUAGAUAAAAUGUAUCAUACUGAAACACAAUUUUUUUUUUCCAUGUUGCUACAGAGUCUCAUGAUCAUCUUAACAGGCUCCCUACUGUUCAAUAAUAUUUGGAUUGUUUUGGGCAUUUGUUUUUAUUAUAAUGACAUUGAAUACUUUUAUCUUUUUAAGCGCCCCACCUUUUUUCUAUAGGUUUUUUUCUUUAAAUAUCCAGAAUGAGAUAAACUAUCUAAAAUAAGAUUAUUGGGUCAGCAUUUAUAGGUAAGUAUAACCAGGUAGUGUGGAGUUUGUAUAAUAACCUGUAUAUAAUAAUACAGAAGUAAUAGUCUCAAAAUUGUGGAAGGGGAACAGGAUACUGGGCUCCCACCCCUGGUGUGUGGGUGUAUGUGGAAGGGCUCCUGGGCAUCUAGCACUACUUUGCAAGUGUGGGAUAAAAGUUUCUGCAGUUAUUAAGCAUAGCGAUGAUGGUGAUGCUUGGUUCCUUAUAACUGCAGUGGACUUUUAUAAAUACUCAACGAGAUAAUUCGUAUCUGUUAAAAAUGCAGAUGUUGGAGUUCCUGCUGUGGCUAAGCAAAAACGAAACUGACUAGUAUGCAUGACAACAGAGAUUCAACCCCUGGCCUCAGUGGGUUAAGGAUCUGACAUUGCUGUGGUGUAGGCCGGCAGCUGCAGCUCCAAUUCA
rnacentral:lncRNA from 1 species